GCAAUCUAAAUGUCCAUCUACAGAUGAAUGAAUACAGAAAAUAUAGUACGUAUACCAAAUAGAAUACUGCUCAGCCAUAAAAAAGAAUGAAAUAAUGCCAUCUGCAGCAUCAUGGAUGCAACUAGAGAUUCUCAUACUAAGUGAAGUAAGUCAAAAAGAGAAAGACAAAUACCAUAUGAUAUCACUUAUAUGUGGGACCUAAAGUAUGACGCAAAUGAACCUAUUUACAAAACAGAAACAGACCCAUGGACAAGAACAGACUCCUGGUUGUCAAGGGGGCGGGGUUUGGGAAUGGGAGGUGGGGCUUAGCAGUGUAAGCAGAUGUAUUAUAUAUGGAGGGGAUAGACGAGGUGCUACUGUAUAGUACAGAGAGCUAUAUCCAAAGUCCUGUGGUAAACUGUAAUGGAAAAGAAUAUUUAAAAAGAAUGUAUAUAUGUAAAUGGAAUCACUUUGCUGUACAGCGGAAAUUAACCCAACAUCGUAAAUCAACUAUUCUUCAAUUUUUUAAAAUACAUUUUGUAAAGCUAUAGCUGCCAUAGGUAGUGAUUCCUCUGAUGAAUCUGGGAAAAAUUGCAAACCUUCUGGAAAGGAUUUACCAUUCUAGAUGCCAUGAAGAACAUUCGUGGUUCAUGGGAGGAGGUCAACACAUCAACAUCUACAGCAGUUGGAGAGAAGUUUAUCCCACCCUCAUGGAUGACCCUUUGAGGGGCUCAAACCUUCAGUGGAGAAAGGAACUUCAGAUGUGGUGGAAGAAGCAAAAGAGCUAGAAUUUGAAGCCCAAAGAUGUGACUGAAUAGCUGCCAUCUGAUGAUAAAACUUGAACAAAUGAAGGAGUUCCCAUCAUGGCUCAGCAGAAAUGAAUCUUAUUAGGAUCCCUGAGGACGAAGGUUUGAUCCCUGACCUCGUUCAGUGGGUUAAGGAUCCGGUGUUGCCAUGAGCUGUGGUGUAGGUCAAAGACGAGGCUCAGAUCCUGCAUUGCUGUGGCUGUGGUGAAGGCCGGCAGCUAUAGCUUUGAUUCAACCCCUAGCCUGGGAACCUCCAAACUUGAACAAAUGAGGAGCUGCUGCUUAUGCAUCUUAUGAGGAACAAAGAAGUGUUUUCUUGAGAAGGAAAGUGCUUCUGGUGAAGAUGCUGUGAAGAUUGUUGAAGUAACAAUAAAGGAUUUAUAUUAUUACCUAAACUUCAUGGAUAAAGCAGUGGCAGGGUGUGAGAGGACUGACUCCAAUUUUAAAACAAGUCCUGCUGCGUGCUACAGAGAAGUCGUUUAUGAAAGGGUCAAUCUGUGUGGCAGACUUUGCUGUUUUAUUUUAAGAAAUUGUCACAGGCACUGCACCUUUGGGUGACCACCACUUUAAUCAGUCAGCAGCCACCAGCAUGGAGGCAACACCUUCCAUCAGCAACAAAAUAACUCACUGAAGGCCAGAUGAUGCUUAGCAUUUUUUAGCAAUAAAGUGGGUUUGUUUUGUUUGUUUGUUUUGGCUGUGUCCAGGGCGUGUAGAAGUUCCCGGUCUAGGGAUUAAACCCACACCACAGCAGCAACAGAAGCUGCUGCAGUGACAACGCCAGAUCCUUAACCAUCUGUGCGACAAGAGAACUCCAGCAAUAAAGGUUUUUUUUUUUUUUCUUUUCCUUUUUUCAGUGGCUGGGCCUAGGCAUAUAGAGGUUCCCAGCCUAUGGGGCGAAUCAGAGCUAUAGCUGCCAGCCUGUACCUCAGCCACAGCAAUGCAGGAUCCAAGCUGCAUCUGUGACCUACACCACAGCUUGCCACAAUGCUGGAUCCUUAACCCACUGAGACAGGCCAGGGAUCAAACCCAAAUCUUCACAGAGACUACGUUGGUUUCUUAACCGAGCCACUCAUUUAUUUGUUUGUUUGGCCACACCCAAGGCACAUGGAGGCUCCCAGACUAGGAGUCUAAUUGGAGCUGUAGCCACUGGCCUAUGCCGCAGCCACAGCAACGUCAGAUCCCAGCCACGUCUGCAACCUACACCACAGUUUAUGGCAACGCUAGAUCCUUAACCCACUGGGCGAGGCCAGGGAUUGAACCCACAACCUCAUGGUUCCUAGUUGGAUUUGUUAACCACUGAGCCAUGAUGGGAACUCCUCACCGUUUCUUCUUAAGGAUUCUCUAGCCUCAUGUUAUUGAACUGUUUGUUCUUCCCCAGACAGCUUAUAUUCUCUUGCUUUCUUUUAGCAAGCGUUGGCUCCAACAUCACCACUCUGUCUUACCCUCAGCAGGGGUGCAUUCUUAGCUGCCAGCAUCUCGAGCUCCACCCAGAAACCUCUGCCACCCUCCACUCCUGGUAGGGGGCUGGGCACAAGCAUGGGUCUCAGGAGUAUAUAAGGAUCUGCACUUACCCAGAGAGCAUCCUUAUGCCCAGGGGAAGGUGACAUUAAGCAGCAAAUAAACACUACCACAGGAUGAGAGGCCACAGAAGGAAGGAAGGAAAAAGCCUUUCUCAUUCUUUUUUGAACAAGGGGCCCCACACUUUGAUUUUGUUCCAGGCAUCCCAAAUUAUGUAGCUGUGGAGUUCCGGUCGUGGUUCAGAGGAAACAAAUCUAACUAGGAACCAUGAGGUUUCGGGUUCAAUCCCUGGCCUUGCUCAGUGGGUUAAAGAUCCAGCGUUGCCAUGAGCUGUGGUGUAGGUGGAAGAUGUGGCUCAGAUCUGGCGUUGCUGUGGCUGUGGUGGAGCUGCAGCUCCAAUUCCACCCCUAGUCUGGGAAUCUCCAUAUGCCGUGAGUAUGGCCCUAAAAAGCAACAACAAAACAAACAAACAAACAAACAAAAAGCCAAAUUAUGUAGUCAGAUCUCUAUAUAUUCACUUAGGUUUCAUCCCAGGAGAAUAAAGCUCCAUGAGAACAGACACUUUUUUUGUUGACUGCUAUUCCCUAGUGGCUAGAACAGGACCCGACUGUACUAGACUCAUAAAUAUUUGCUAAUGAAUAUAUAGCAAGGCAGCUCAUGGUAUUGAAAUUAGCUGGUAUGGUUUACCAGCCAGACUGUAAGCCCUUAGAGAUCCUAACAGCCCUUACACCUAGCCUAAAAUCUGAUGUACUGCAGGUGCUCAGACGUUUGUUCAAAAAAGAAACAGCAAGGCCAGGCUGUUGGAAUGGAUGGAAUGUUGCCUGCGCUGCCCUCCUCUUAACCCAGGCUACGACAAAUGGCAGCUUUAAUUGAGCCCUCUGUCCCUCUAGAAAGGAGUGCCUCUGGCUUUACCUGAACUGAGUUCCUAAAAGGGAAUCAGAGAUAUGGUAAAACCUGGGGCAAGUGGCUUAUGUCAGGAAUUCCCCAAUCUAUCUCUGGAAACCUCUGAAGACCCCACAGUGGCAACGGUGCCCACUUAUUUAAAAAAAAAAAAAAAAGUGAAGAAUAGAAUUAAGUGUCAAUAAUACUAAGCUCACAAUUACCAGUUAGCAGUGUCACGUUUGUUUUCGUUUUGGUUUUGCUUGUAUAAAAACAAAGUUUAUUGCCUUCUACUUUUAUAGUUUUCCUUUCCAAUUUUCAUUUUUGAAAAAUCAAAGUAUAGUUGGAGUACCCAUCAUGGCGCAGCGGAAACGAAUCUGACAAGGAUCCAUGAGGAUGUAGGUUCAAUCCCUGCUCACUCAGUGGGUUAAGGAUCCAGCGUUGUUGUGAGCUGUGGUGUAGGUCACAGACGUGGCUCAGAUCCCCCGUUGCUCUGGGCUGGGGUGUAGGCUUGCAGCUACGGCUCCAAUUUGACCCCUAGCCUGGGAACCUCUAUAUGCCAUGGGUGCGGCCCUAAAAAGACAAAAAAAAAAAAAA
rnacentral:lncRNA from 1 species